AUCACAUAAAGCCUUUAAGGCAAAGCAGAACGUGUUUAUCAGUGAUGGGUCCAAUUAAAUACUGUGUGUUUCAGUCUUGUGUCAUUCUCUAAACACAUUCUGCUUUUUUAGAAACUCCAAUGGAAACAGAGUUCACAUCUGUCACAGAGACCAACCGAGCAUAUGAGGACCUGAGGGAGGACAAACGGAGAGGAUCCCUUCCUUACGAACACGCCGUGUACACCAAACCGAAUGGAGUAGAAAUCGACCAUGAAUACAGCACUGUCACUAGAGCCAGGUCUCAUCAUGCAGCUGAAGAUGACUCUGGUAACAUCACCUACUCUG